rnacentral:rRNA from 1 species
GUGGGGAAUAUUGGACAAUGGGCGAAAGCCUGAUCCAGCCAUGCCGCGUGUGUGAAGAAGGUCUUCGGAUUGUAAAGCACUUUAAGUUGGGAGGAAGGGCAGUAAGUUAAUACCUUGCUGUUUUGACGUUACCGACAGAAUAAGCCCCGGCUAACUUCGUGCCAGCAGCCGCGGUAAUACGAAGGGGGCGAGCGUUAUUCGGAAUCACUGGGCGUAAAGCGUGCGUAGGCGGUUUUGUAAGUUAGGAGUGAAAGCCCUGGGCUCAACCUGGGAAUGGCGAUGGAAACUGGGCGACUAGAGUGCGGUAGAGGAUGGCGGAAUUCCCGGUGUAGCGGUGAAAUGCGUAGAGAUCGGGAGGAACAUCCGUGGCGAAGGCGGCCAUCUGGACCAGCACUGACACUGAGGCACGAAAGCGUGGGGAGCAAACAGGAUUAGAUACCCGGGUAGUCC